GACGAACGCUGGCGGCGUGCCUGACACAUGCAAGUCGGACGGUUCUUGUAUCUUCAAGCUUGCUUGCAGGUGCAAGGAUAGUGGCGGACGGGUGAGUAACGCGUGAACAUCUACCCAUUGGAGGGGGACAACCCGUCGAAAGGCGGGCUAAUACCGCGUAAGCCGCGAGGUGAGAGGCUGCCUAUUGGUGGCCGCCGAUGGAUGGGUUCGCGUCCUAUCAGCUGGUUGGUGGGGUAACGGCCUACCAAGGCGAAGACGGGUAGCCGGUCUGAGAGGAUGGCCGGCCACACUGGAACUGAGACACGGUCCAGACUCCUACGGGAGGCAGCAGUGAGGAAUCUUGCGCAAUGGGGGAAACCCUGACGCAGCAACGCCGCGUGAGUGAGGAAGGCCUUCGGGUCGUAAAGCUCUGUCAGAUGGGAAGAAAUGGGUGGAGGCGUAAUAUCGCCCGAUCCUUGACGGUACCGAAUCAGAGGAAGGCACCGGCUAACUCCGUGCCAGG
rnacentral:rRNA from 1 species